rnacentral:rRNA from 1 species
ACGGGUGAGUAACGCGUGGGUAACCUGCCUUAUACAGGGGGAUAACAGUUAGAAAUGACUGCUAAUACCGCAUAAGCGCACAGGAUUGCAUGAUCCGGUGUGAAAAACUCCGGUGGUAUAAGAUGGACCCGCGUCUGAUUAGCUUGUUGGUGAGGUAACGGCCCACCAAGGCGACGAUCAGUAGCCGACCUGAGAGGGUGACCGGCCACAUUGGGACUGAGACACGGCCCAAACUCCUACGGGAGGCAGCAUG